rnacentral:rRNA from 1 species
UACGUAGGGUGCAAGCGUUGUCCGGAAUUAUUGGGCGUAAAGAGCUCGUAGGCGGUCUGUCGCGUCUGCUGUGAAAACUCGGGGCUUAACCCCGGGCCUGCAGUGGGUACGGGCAGACUAGAGUGCGGUAGGGGAGACUGGAAUUCCUGGUGUAGCGGUGAAAUUCGUAGAUAUCGGGAGGAACACCGGUGGCGAAGGCGGCGACCUGGGUAGAUACUGACGCUGAGGUGCGAAAGCGUGGGGAGCAAACAGG